ensembl:lncRNA
GGAAACUCUAGAAAAUGGGCCCUGUCAAACUGUAGAAGAGCUUAAAGAGUUUGACACCUCAUUAGAAAAUAAAGAGACUAGGACAAAGAUGGUAAUAAAUACAGCAAUUUACAUAAGCUGUCAAUGUUCAUUGACAAUAAAAUGCUCACUCAUUACAUAAUUUUCAGCUGUUAAAAUGAUUUUACUUAAAAGGAUUGUUCAUUUGUGGGUCAACUGCAAAAAAAUACAGAAUUCAUAUUUUCUCAUUUUAUUUGUCCUAUCUUAUAAUUUUUGUGGAUAUAAUGAGUAAGUUUAGAAUUAAUUAUUUUUAAUUACUAUAUUGAAAAAGACUUCAAAGUUUUGCGGUAAGUUACGUGAGUGGACUCUCUUCUCGUUCUGUUCCCGCUUUAGUCUACAUGCUAAAUAAACAAAAUGGACAUUCGUCGUUUUUUUAAUAAACCCACUAGUAAAAGUGUGGAGUUUUCUAACUCUGACACUUCAACCAUCAAUUCCACUGCUGCUACUGACACAGCAACCGAGGCCGCAUCUGAGAACAACAAAGCCGGCCUGGGAUCCAGCAGAACCGGUGCCAACGUGUCAGCGGAGUUACCCGCUCAAUCUGCCGCAUCUGGAUCUGGAUACGCUGACCUCGGGGAGAAAGCUAUUGGGCUGAAACAGCCCAUACUCCCUGUUUUAGACACUAUGCUGGCUGAAUUGGACAGGCGAUUUUCAACUGAAGCAACGGCCCUGAGUGUGGCAUGUGAUGCUGUAUUCAAUUGUGACAAGAACGGCAUCGGUCCUUUUCUAAGCAUGUAUGUGAGCUUUAAGAUUCACCCUCAGCUUGUGACAGCUGAAAUGGAUCUUGUGAAAUGUGCAAUCGCAUCGCCGAUCACCCUUAAAAAACUUCAAGAUGAAGUACGGAAGGAUAGAUAUCCAAACUUUUACUGUCUGCUGCAGGUUGCACUCACACUGCCAGUUGGCUCUGCUACGUCAGAAAGAAGUUUCAGAAACUGGCUCCGAUCUGCAAUGCCUCAGGACAGAUUCUCAAAUCUUUCCCUACUGCAUAUAGAGAACGACUUGACUGCAAAUUUAUCAGAAGAGAAGAUAGUGGACAUCUAUGCAACUCGGAAAAAGAGGCGGCUUCUUCUGCAUUAGGUAAGAUAUGUUUUUAACGCUUUUCUUUGUAUAGCAGUCCUUGUUCAUUGUAAACGUAUUUUAAAUGUAGAUGUUAUGAUAUAUGAAAUAUGGUAGCCCAUAAAAAAAUCUGAGCUCGUGGCCUGCUGGUAGGUGCCCCCCCACGCACAAAAGUGAAACUCCACCUAUGUUAAAGAGUGCUGGUAAUCAAACAGUUGCUGUUCCACGUUAACUUCCACAGUGUAGAAAAUGGAAGUCAAUGUGGAAAAUAAACUGUUUGGCUACCACCA